UCUGCCUUUUAGCUUGUGCAAUUUUGCUUAGAGUUUCAGGUGAGCUUAAACUCUCAUGGCAACAAUCAUCCACUUUCUUAACAAGUAAUUCCUCAGCAAGAAUAGAUUCUCGUAAAGCUGGACUCUUCCUUGCAAUGGAUUUCAAUCUUUUUCUAGGCAGAGUAGACUUUGCUGCUAUUUUGGGUGUGUUGACCACCAAUGAAGAUAAAUAUCUCUCCUUUCUUCUGCCUGUUAAUGGGGAUGAGGGUACAGCUUCUGGG
rnacentral:misc_RNA from 1 species